AUAAUAAACAGCCAUUUUUCUGCCUAGAAAGGUUAGCUGUAAAUAUGACAGCAUGUGAUACUGGUUAUGGGGUAUGUAACAAUGGUCUGUCUAGUAUUGGUGUCACGACUCAAACAGCUGCUGAAAUCUGUUCAUUGAUUGAUACAUUUAACACUUGCGCAAGUGCCUUAACAUGUCCAUCAACCGUUAUGGCUUAUUAUAAAGAAGUGUCCACUAAUUUGACAGUUUCGUUUAAAGAGUUACCCUAUU